UUCUCAUGAUAUCUGAUGGUUUUAUAAUGAACUUUUAUUCCUUUUGCUCAGUUCCUCUCUGUCCUGCCGCCAUGUGAAGAAAGAUGUGUUUGCUUCCCCUUCCACCGUGAUUGUAAUUUUCCUGCAGCCUCCCCAGCCAAGCUGAACUUUUCGUCUUUACCAAUGAAGUGCAAGACUUUGGAAUGAACAACAAGUAUUUGGGUAGAAUGAUAACUCAAAGUGAAGACUCAAAGUGAAACAGUCAAUUGGAGGAGCCUGCCUGAGAGACUAGAGUAUAAAACCUGUUUUAAUAUGGAAAAACAAAAAUGCAGAGACCACAUUGAAAAGCAGCGAAUGGGAAAGGGAAAGGAAGAGAACAAGAGAAGGAAGUAGGCUUUCAAGGACUCCUUCAUAGUAAUACAUCUAAAUCACUUGGACCUCUUUCUUUUUCAGUGACUUUUAUUUCUGCCUGUAGAAAUUGUUAUAUGUAGGAAGCAGUUUAGAAUGAGGAAUAAUAUUAUGUUUCCUAUUUUUAAAGAUUUGUUGUAUUGAUUAAAUUGAACUUUCAUAAUAAUUGAUAAGGUG
rnacentral:lncRNA from 1 species